UACGUAGGGGGCAAGCGUUGUCCGGAUUUAUUGGGCGUAAAGAGCGUGUAGGCGGCUUGGUAGGUCCGCUGUGAAAACUCGAGGCUCAACCUCGAGAUGUCGGCGGAAACCACUUGGCUAGAGUCCGGAAGAGGAGAGUGGAAUUCCUGGUGUAGCGGUGAAAUGCGCAGAUAUCAGGAAGAACACCUAUGGCGAAGGCAGCUCUCUGGGACGGUACUGACGCUGAGGCGCGAAAAGCGUGGGGAGCGAACAGG
rnacentral:rRNA from 1 species